GUUAAUCAUGCUCGGGUAAUCGCUGCGGCCGGUUUCGGCCGUAGAGGAAAGUCCAUGCUCGCACGGUGCUGAGAUGCCCGUAGUGUUCGUGGAAACACGAGCGAGAAACCCAAAUGAUGGUAGGGGCACCUUCCCGAAGGAAAUGAACGGAGGGAAGGACAGGCGGCGCAUGCAGCCUGUAGAUAGAUGAUUACCGCCGGAGUACGAGGCGCAAAGCCGCUUGCAGUACGAAGGUACAGAACAUGGCUUAUAGAGCAUGAUUAACGUC
rnacentral:RNase_P_RNA from 1 species